rnacentral:rRNA from 1 species
UACGGGGGGAGCAAGCGUUGUUCGGAUUUACUGGGCGUAAAGGGCGCGUAGGCGGCCACCGCAAGUCGACUGUGAAAUCUCUGGGCUUAACCCAGAACGGUCAGCCGAUACUGCGGGGCUAGAGUGCAGAAGGGGCAACUGGAAUUCUCGGUGUAGCGGUGAAAUGCGUAGAUAUACGGAGGAAUACCUGAGGCGAAGGCGGGUUGCUGGGCCAACACUGACGCUGAGGCGCGAAAGCCAGGGGAGCAAACGGG